GGGAUAGUAGCUCAGUUGGUCAGAGCUGGCGUCUCAUAACCGCUUGGUCGCGAGUUCAAAUCUUGCCUGUCCCA
rnacentral:tRNA from 1 species